rnacentral:rRNA from 1 species
GACGAACGCUGGCGGCGUGCUUAACACAUGCAAGUCGAACGGAAAGGCCCUGCUUUUGUGGGGUGCUCGAGUGGCGAACGGGUGAGUAACACGUGAGUAACCUGCCCUUGACUUUGGGAUAACUUAAGGAAACUGGGGCUAAUACAGGAUAGGAGCUCCUGCUGCAUGGUGGGGGUUGGAAAGUUUCGGCGGUUGGGGAUGGACUCGCGGCUUAUGAGCUUGUUGGUGGGGUAGUGGAUUACCAAGGCUUUGACGGGUAGCCGGCCUGAGAGGGUGACCGGCCACAUGGGGCCUGCGAUACGGCCCAGACUCCUACGGUAGGCAGCAGUGGGGAAUAUUACACAAUGGGCGGAAGCCUGAUGCAGCAACGCCGCGUUCGGGAUGCCGGCCUUCUGGUUGUAAACCGCUUUCGCCUGUGACGAAGCUUGAGUGACGGUAAUGAGUAAAGAAGCACCGGCUAACUACGUG